rnacentral:rRNA from 1 species
GAUGAACGCUAGCGGCAGGCCUAAUACAUGCAAGUCGAACGGGAUUGAGGAGCUUGCUCCUCAUGAGAGUGGCGCACGGGUGCGUAACACGUAUGUAACCUACCUUAAUCAGGGGGAUAGCCUCUCGAAAGAGAGAUUAACACCGCAUAAAAUCACACUAUGGCAUCAUAGAAUGAUCAAAUAUUUAUAGGAUUAAGAUGGGCAUGCGGAACAUUAGCUAGUUGGUAAGGUAACGGCUUACCAAGGCUACGAUGUUUAGGGGAUCUGAGAGGAUAGCCCCCCACACUGGUACUGAGACACGGACCAGACUCCUACGGGAGGCAGCAGUAAGGAAUAUUGGUCAAUGGACGGAAGUCUGAACCAGCCAUGCCGCGUGCAGGAAGACGGCCCUACGGGUUGUAAACUGCUUUUGUACCGGAAUAAACCUCUUUACGUGUAAGGAGCUGAAUGUACGGUAAGAAUAAGGAUCGGCUAACUCCGUGCCAGCCGCCGCCGUAAUAC